UCCAUCAUAUUCCUUUUCCUGCCAGCAGUUUUCUAUUGCUUUUCAGCAGCCUACGGAUUGUGGCGUGUAGAGUAAUUUUGAUAUUUCGAGCUUGUCAUGUCUGGAGUGCGGGCCGAAUCAAGUCAGCAUCAAAUCAGGAUUGGCAUGUAAGUGUCAGUUUCAGGAUGCUGGUCAGUAAUGGGGCGUCCAUCACGUGCCAGCAGUGUCCUGAUGCUAAUAUGGUCCGGUAUUGAAUUUGGAUUACAAAUUUAAGCUCUCAUAUGUUACUGUAUUAAUAAUAUUAAGAAUACUAAUACUAUUUAAUAAUAAUAUGUUUAAUCUCAUUCAUAGUUGGUCACCAAGUUUGCUUAUGUAUCUGUGGACCAGAAAUGUAUUAUUUUAAUAUUAUUUAUAUCCAUAAUUGGAUGUAUAAUGUAUUAAGUGCAUGAGGAAGUUAUAUAUACUCCAUGGGUUGGGGUCUGCAUGAACAUGUAAGGAUCAUAUAACAGACACCGGGAGGAGAAGAGAUAAUUUUGGCCAUACAAGAAUGUGUGUACAUGCAGGACUGUAUGUACAUGUAAUGUGUUCCACCGAGGCAUACAGUGGCUUGUUUUUCCACUGAUGUAAGCAUGACAUUCUAUUUUAAACAAACCAACAUGUUUCUCUACCUUAUAAGGAAUUGCAAAUCCUUUAGUCAGUGGUAUACAAUGCCAUGCUCACUGUUAAUUCCUGAUUCAUAUGACAAUUAAGAGUUUUCUGCAAGGCAACUGGUAUUCAACAAACUUCUUAAAAAUUAAACUCCAAUGUAGAGUUUUGUAGUCAGACUCCAGCAUGUUGCCCAGCCAAUUUCUUAGUUAAGAUUAAUGUUGAAAUGUAAGUAAUGAGUAAAUUACUAUAAAAUAAUAUUGUUGUUAGACUGUUGUGUUAUUUUGUGUUGUCAUUAUGCUAUAUACUUUAACCACCUCAGAGGAAAGUGAGGGUCCCAAGGUAGUGGCACUGUUAUUUUGGGGGUCGUGUGCUGAAAAGUUUGGGUCCUUCUUUUAUGGUCACAGUAUAUCAACAUGCAGUAACAAUGUAAAUUAAUUUCAUAAAUAGCAUUAAGCCUUUAACCUUGAUAUAAUUUCCGCAAAGUAAUGAAUGCUCCUGUGAUCAAAAAUGCAGUGUGAUUAGUACUGUAUAUCCAAUCAUUUUCCACAUUAUUAAUGAUCAAAUAAUUACUGUUGCCAGCCUAAGUGUAACAACAAUAGAAUGAAAGUCCCACUAAAAACUAGUGAUUAAACCAAUCACUCUCUGUGUUAAUAGUGUAUCCAACUACUGUUGCCAGCCAAGUGUGACAAAAAUGAAAUCAAUGUCCUACUAACAACUUGAAAACCAAUUAAUUAAUUAAUUAAUUAGAGAUUAAACCAAUCUCUUUACGAGAUACUAGGAUCCUACAGGGGUAAGCGUUGUAUUUUAUUUCAGAAUUCUCCAAAAACACUUACCCCUUUUAUUGUAGGUCCUCCUCUGAUCUCCGGCAUGCCUUGCCAGCCAAGUGCACAGUUGUCAUUCUCUCUUGAGUAUACGAUGGACCAGGAAGAAGCUCAGGUCAAAAGUGAUGUGAGUAUAAGUGGCACUGGAAAUGGCAAUGGCUAUUAAUGGCUAAUAGUCUAUUAUGAAUAUGAUUAAGCCUUACAUAACCUCCCCCCCACCCCCGUUUUUGUUUAUUUUUUGUUAUAUCUUUAAUUCCAAGUCUGGAUCUUUUUCUAUUGUUAACAGUCUCACCCACUUCUCAGAUAUCUGUUUAUUAUCUGUGUUUUCUUCCAUUGUCCUGUUAAAUGAGAUAUUUUGCUAGGAUGUGCAGUCUAUAAGUACUCUUUAUUUUUUCAUGGAGCUUCAGGUCUGUUCACAUCAAGACAAGUACUGUGCAACUUUGCGUUUCUGAUACCCACUUUUCACAGAUAAGAAAAGAAAUCACACAUAUUUCUGUGUUAUAAAACAGCCAUUCAUAUUUUUGUAUUCACUAUUAUCGCUUUGCAAUAUACACCAAGUAAUAGUUUUAAUGGCAUUGUUUGGUCAUGGUUUGCUAGUGUGAACACGAGUUAAAAUAGAAAUAAAAACCUAUAAAAACAAGGCUCUCUGUGUAUCUCCAGCAGGCUAAGCUAUUUGUGUCUCUGUUGCUGCCAUUAGCAGCUCAGUAGGAGUGCUUUGUUGCUUAUGUUGGCUGUGCCUUUGUUUUGAAGGUAAGUACAGAUAUUAACAUUACAUUUUACACUUCAGGUUGCUUAAUUAAGUAUAUGUCUGUCUUUUCCCUUUUUCCUUUUCCUUGCAGGUUAACUUAACUUUAUUUUUUGUUACAGACUGUACAUAAGCUCCUUGUUCAACUGUCUGUGGAUAUUUUCUUUAUAGACUGGGAAAGACCUUGUAGUAAAACCAGUAAACAUGUGAAAUGCCUGUUACAUUAAAUCUAUACAAACUCUUCACUUUUAAUUAGAAUAUUUUAAUAUUUCUUUUAAAUAAUACAUAUUCUAUAAUUAUGCUGUAAUGUGCUCAGGGUCUGGUGAAGCACUGUCAGUAUCUGGAGAACAUAUUUUGUGGCCUCCAAAUCUGAUUGAUCUCCCAAAGGAUACAUCCACCGAAGACAUAGAAUUUAUCAUGAGUUCUGAUCUAAGCAAUAAUGUUAAGGAAGUGAGGACAGCUAAGGCUAGAUGUGAAGGAAAUUAUGCAUGUGCAUUGGCCUUGUUACAAAGAGGAGUUUUGAAGGAAGAGAUAGAUGGAGAAUGUUGGAUUUGUAUGCAACUCCACUCAGCGUGGAGAAAACACCCUGUAACAUCAGAUAUGGUAUGUCUUGAGAGAAACAGAUGUGAUGUACCACGCCAGAUGUCUAUAAUUCUACAGAUGACAAAUAAUCUAAAAACAAACAGAGCAUUGUUGUUUUCGCUCCAAGAGUAUAAUUGUUCCUAUAAAGGACUACCUUUUACAGGACCAGCCUUUCAUGUACUGUCACAUCUCGCAGAUUUGUGUAUUUGUUCAACCAAAGGAAAACAUUAUGUAGGAAUGUCAGAUUGUAAGACUGCAAUAACUCUGAUUCAAAAUGCUGGAAAUCGGCCUAAUUGUACUAUUAAGUAUGAUAACCAAUCUGUUGAGAAUUUUCACUGUCCGUUUUCUUAUCUUGAUAGCUCCCCAGGUAUGAUUUGGACCUGUGGGGGAAUGGCUUAUUACCAUUUGGAUGAAGGAGAAUGGCGUGGAUGUUGUUAUCCAGCUACACUCUCCACAGGAACUACCGUAUUGACACGUAAAGACCUUGAUACCUGUGAUAGUCAGGCACCAUCACACAGACAGAAAAGAGAGGUCGAUACAAUGGAUACAAAACAGCUACGCCCUGGACAACCCCAUGGGAAAAUGUGGGAUGGUCCAUAGCUAGUUUCUUUCCAGGGGUAGGAACCUCCAUUGCUUUAAACAAAAUAAAUGGUUUAGCUUCGCAAGUCUUGUCAUUGGAAAAUGAUACUACUCAUGCAUUAAGUUUAAUAACAGAGGAAAUGAAAAAGAUGAGAGAAGCAGUAGUUCAAAACAGACUUGUUCUCGACUUUUGACAUCGCAGCAGGGAGGAGUUUGUAAAAUGUUGGGAGUAUCUUGUUGUUUUUACAUUCCAGAUAACUCUGACAACGUUUCCAAUAUUGUGGACCAGAUGAGAGAAUCCAUUACAGAGCCAAAGAAAGAUGAUUCCUGGCUGAGCUGGCUCAGCGGCCUAUGGGGAGGAUGGGGAACUUGGAUUCUACACACUGUUGUACCUGUUGUUAUAUUCAUAGUGAUUCUUCUGCUAAUAGCACCCUGUGUGAUGCAAUGUAUUAGUACUUCUAUAAUGCGUUCUGUUACAGCGCUCACUACGGGAAAAACCUAUCAAGCAAUGCUGCACGUAUCCAAUCCAGUACCAACCAUUGUUAGGGUUCCAGAGCAGUUGGAGAUGAAUGUGAUUGAAGCUGAGGAUUUUCCAACAGAUGCUGAUAGCUCUACUGGAGAUGAGUAUGUGCAUACUUAUGAGUUAGAGCCUGAAAACUGAUUCUGAUAUACAUGUGUAAUCCUGAUUAAGAGUUAUACUAACCAUUUUUUAUUCCUAUUCUGAAAAUUGUAUAACAAAAAUGAAUACUAACUGAAUAUAUAUAUCACAUAUGAUUACUGUGUACGAAAGUAUAAUCAAGAAACAUAAGAUAUGCCCAAGAUUCUUCACGGUUGUGUAAGACAUGUCUUCGACUGUCUUAAAGUGGCCAUUGUGAGAUUCUGCUCGUGUACGUGAACAUCUUGUGAUAAAGGACAUUGUGUGAUGAAAGUAUGAUGUAUUCCUUUUGAACCUUACUCUAUAUUCAUGGUAUUGCUCAAUGCAGUGUGUUAUGCUUGAUCAUCCAAAUAUCUGCCAGACAUUCCAUUGCUUCAUUUCCCUAUAAAAGUAACACCCCUUGUACAAUAAAGUUGAGCUUAGAAUGACCUGCA